UCUGGUUGCUUCUAGAGGAUGGCGGGAUCCGAAAUCUGUGACCCUCCGCGUCAUCUGAACCCUAGGGCCACGGCCCGCCACCAGUAGCUCGCUCGGCUCCAGAUCCCGCGCCACACCACAUAGCAUGGCAGAAGAUACAGCGUAGCAAGGUCCGGACGUUCACCAGAGGGCAGUGGGGAUGGGGAUGGGGCCGGCCCGCGUGCGCUCUCCGUGCGGGAGGCCUCGGCGGCGGUGCCGCUCCCGCACCCAUCGGCGGCGGCUGCGCUCGACCUUAGGCGGCGGGGCGGCCAGGCUGGCGCUGUGACCUGAAACGGUGGCGGGAUGGGGAGGAGGAAGGAGCACCUAGAGAGAGUCCGAGUGGAGGCGUACUGCUGGGACGUGUUCAAGCCAGUGGAGAUGGUGGAGAUCGACAGCAUGGAGAAGCUUGACGACGCGUUCAGGAUGGCAAGUUGGUGUCAGAAAUGCAUCUACCUAAUGCCCAGAAUGGAGAAGAUAGCAGGACAAUAUCCUGGGUUACUCAGACCUUACUCCUGCCCCUCUCUCCUGUUUAUUCUAUUAUCUGGCUCCAUUUGUGCAGCACAAAACUUAGCACUUUGUUUCAUUUUGGAAUAUUCUUGCUUUUAGUUUCUGAUUUAAUUGUAGCUUCUUGCUAAGUGAUUGACAUUAUCUGGUUCUUAUUCAUUUCAAGUUGUUCUUUCAAAAAAAUUGGAAUAAAAGUCAUUUUGGAAUCGUGUGGUUCUAUUGCUGCUAGCUUAGUAAGGUAAAAUAGCCUGACCUCGUCAACAAUUAGUUCUUUUUAGGAGAAAAAGAUGCAACAAAUGAGGAUUGAUGCUUCCCGCAAGAGUACAUGAUGUACAAUAUAUAUCUUUAGAUGGUUUCAUUGUUGUAGCUGAUACUAAGAAUGUAGCUUUUUUCUUUAUUCAAGGUGGUCGCAGCGAUCUGUGAUUGUUUAUGCCCAAAGCGUAGGGUUACCCGUCUUGUUAGCGCUACCUUAGUGCCGCUUUUUUGAACCCUAGACAUCUCAGAAGAGGUACCAGCUGUACUUUCACGGGCUUUAACAAAUUAUUUAGAAAGCCAUAUCGGGGUGAUCUCUCUGGUCUGGUGACCUGAUCUGAGUUUUUUUUGCCUUCAUUCAGGGGAAGCACUCGGAGAUGAAGCUGAAGCAGAGCAAACGUGAGACGCACCGUGGGCAUUCUCUAUCCAAGGGGAAGGUGUGACCUCAGGCCUCUUCUGUGCGAUGCAUUACUCUUAAUCCGUGUUUGCGUUGGUUGCUUUGAAUUAAUUGUCAUGUGCUUAUUUGUUAGCAGCCAAACAAAAAAUCGCUCAAGUUAUGAUAACCCGACUAUUCCUUGACCUAUUAUACCUGUUUCCUUAUAACUUCUUAUGAUUGCACAUCAUAAUUACUUGAGAACAUAUAUUUGUGAAUUGCUUUGGUGUCCCCAACAAACUAUUGUAUGUUCCAUAACACUAUAGACGUACAAAUAGUAAUUGGAAUUGUUUCUGUACAGAGUAAUAAUGAACAUGCAUUGGAUAAACAGUAGGAAACAAAAGAAGGGCAACAUCAUUACUCUGAUCCUCGACUUACAUUUCUAUUUGUUUUUCCUUCGUACAGUACAUUCCCUGUCAUUUGUUUGAAUGAUAUGUCAAGCUUUGAAUUCUCCAAAUCAUGCACAAUCAUAAGAAACACGUGCAGCUUAUUAGGCCACAAUUUUCCAUGCUUUUUGAUCAGUACUGAACCCCAUAAAUGGAGACUACAUUGUGUUUGACAAAAAACAUGCAUCUUUAAGUGUCGUGAUAAUUUUUUCCACAAAUCAACAACCAUAACCCAAAAUAAUGUAUCACUAAUAUUUAAAGCUGCUACUUCUAGUUUUCUCUAGAAACCUUUAUGCGUAUUUUGUGGACUUGCUCCUACUAAGGUUUUGCUAUUUGCAAAUUUAUAUAGAUCAGUCUCACCAUUCAAAAAGUGCUUGGAUGAAAGGGAAAAAGUUACCAUUCAAAAAGUGCUUGGAUGAAAGGGAAAAAGUUUGGAUGAAGGCAUUGGUCUAUAAAUUUUUAGAAAGUCCAAUAUGUGCUAAAUCCUAUGUAUUCGACAUUGUGUGUCCUAAUCUCCCCUUAUCAAAAAUAGCAUAGAGAAAAAAAGAAUAAGUGCAACACAAAUGCACAAAAAACAGUCAAUGUUUCGGUAAAAAUAUGCUUUACACUUUGACAGAAAAAAGAGGAAUAUAGAAUAAGUAGCAUAAACAAGAUACAUCAAAAAUAAUAAUGAGAGUACAAUAAAAAAUGUAGGUAUCAAGAUAUGGAUCCCACCUUGUGACCAAACUUACUUUUAUUUUGGCUUUACAGUUUGAUCUAUGGAAUGCUAAGUUCUUUUGCUUGCCAACUUUGCUCACUCAAGCAACUUCUUUCUUUAAAGUUAUCCUAUUAUUCAUGAUUUUUAUUUGGAUGUUUUGGACCUUUUCUUCAAACAUUAGCGAGAUGCAGUGCUAGUGUUGUUAAUAUACCUACUUGCAGGUUGCUCUUUUCUUAUAUUAUUUCCCUAUGUGUCGUGCUACAUUAUAAAUAUCAAGUAAUUUUAAUGGUACUUCUUUUCUGUAAGUAUACACAUUAAUCCUUGCAAAAGUUAAAUCUACAUGUGCAUUUAUUUAUAUAUCUAUAUACGCAGUGAACUUUAUGUACUCAAUCUAAAGAUCGUUCUAUAUUCAAUAUAUCUAGAAUCCAAUGUGGCAUUUUAUUAGCUUUUAGAUACCAAACCUUGCUAUUGACUGUUCAUACAUAUGUUUCUAAUCACUGGUAGACUUCAUAACUUUUAGACAUUUUUGACCUUUGUAAAUUCAUAUUACAUAUUGUAUUCAGUUUCUUAUCUCAAAUAUUAUAGAACUAUAUUAUUAUAGGUUGCUGGAACAUGAUCUGGAUUCAAAAUGGUUGGCUAUUGUUGAUAUAUCUUGUUCUCCCCACAAUUUUAUGUUCUACAUGAGUGGAGAGAUCAUAUAGCUCAUGAGAAAGAUGAGGGUACUGGUUAGUGGUUGUAUACUGCCAAAUAAAGCUUGAAUCGAGAUAGGUGUUGUUGUUUUUUUCUUUAUAUCCUGUUAUAAUGGUGCAAAAUUGGAUCUACAACUUUGCUAGCUCCCCCCCCCCCCCCCCCCCAAAAAAAUAAAGCAGAUACCUACAGAUGUUGGACAUUGUAAAAGAAUUGUAAAAUCAAAAUAUCCAUAUGUUGAGAACAAUGUUGUCGUAAUCGCUUACCUUA